rnacentral:tRNA from 1 species
GGAAGCGUGACCGAGUGGUUUAAGGCACUGUCUUGAAAACCAGCGUGCGUGAAAGCGUACCGUGGGUUCGAAUCCACCUCCUCCG